UACGUAGGCAGCAAGCGUUGUUCGGAGUUACUGGGCGUAAAGGGUGUGUAGGCGGUUGCUUAAGUUUGGUGUGAAAUCUCCCGGCUCAACUGGGAGGGUGCGCCGAAUACUGAGUGACUCGAGUGCGGGAGAGGAAAGUGGAAUUCCUGGUGUAGCGGUGAAAUGCGUAGAUAUUGGGAGGAACACCAGUGGCGAAGGCGGCUCACUGGACCGGAACUGACGCUGAGGCGCGAAAGCGUGGGGAGCAAACGGG
rnacentral:rRNA from 1 species